rnacentral:lncRNA from 1 species
ACAAAGAUGACGCAAGCCCUGUCUUCAUCACUGUCUUCAAUAAUGGCACCUAGGUGUUGAUCAUCCUUGUGAAUGAACCCUCCAUUGCAAAAAAAUUCUUGCAUAGCCUUGACAUUGGCGUUGAGUGUCCCUUGCUGAAAUCCCAGCUCUUCUCUAUUCUUGUUUUCAAUGAUUUCCACAACGCGACCCCGUAUGUCGGUGCUACCAGCCUGAAC